CAAUAGCGUAUAUUUAAGUUGUUGCAGUUAAAAAGCUCGUAGUCGGAUUUUGGCUGAGAACGAACGGUCCGCCGUUAGGUGUGCACUGUUUGGUCUCAGCUUCCUGGUGAGGAGGUGUGCUUCACGGCCACUUAGUCACCGUGGUUACUUUGAAAAAAUUAGAGUGUUCAAAGCGGGCUUACGCUUGAAUAUAUUAGCAUGGAAUAACACCAUAGGACUCCUGUCCUAUUUCGUUGGUCUCGGGACGGGAGUAAUGAUUAAGAGGAACAGUUGGGGGCAUUCGUAUUUCAUUGUCAGAGGUGAAAUUCUUGGAUUUAUGAAAGACGAACUUCUGCGAAAGCAUUCGCCAAGGAUGUUUUCAUUGA
rnacentral:rRNA from 1 species